CGUGUUCCCUAAUGUUUUUCAUGUUUCUUGUUUUUGGACUGCUUUUGUUGUUUUUGACCUCUUGCCUGUUUUUGGAUUGAUUUUUGGAUUCCCCAUUAAACACUGCAACUGGAUCUCUCGUUUUGUGUGUGCGUUCGUAACAGAAAUACAUUGUGCAGUGAUGGAAAAAGCUCAAAUAUUUGAUUCAUUCACUUGGGUGUAUCUGUUUUGGAAUAUUGAAGGUUUGAGCUGGGAUCCUGAUGAAUGUGGAACAGAAUUCCUGAUAUUGUAAUUAAUAUUAUAUUUAUGUCAAUGCUGAACAUUGCAAACAAAUCUGAAACUCUUUCUUGUGUAUCUCCUGAAACACCACCUGAAUUGUUAGCACAUUUGAGACUCACUCAAAAUUUAUCACAAAUACGUUGGAUAAUAGAAGAUAUGCUCUGUAACAUUUAAAUGCUACCUGUUCCUAAAGUUGUUUUGUUUUACUUUGAAGCAUGGAUGACAAUAAAUCCCCAGGCACAUAUUACCUCUAUGUCCAACAUACUGGUUUGUUAAUGGAUGAUCUUCCCAUUCAUGUGAUCAGUUCAGUUCAGUUCAUUCGAACUGCACAUUCUAGCAUUCAGUGUGGCUCCACUCACUGUGGACCUUUACCUCGAUGGGCCAAGGUGCUUUUCCUCAACCACCUUGCUAAAUUUGUUUGUUUAACCCAGUGACCAAAACUGUGUUCCUGAAGGUGAGUCUUACCAUGCAAAAUCAAAUAAGUCUGUCUACUUUUAUUUAUUAAAUUAACACCUAAGCCAAAUAUAUGUAUGGAUGAUCCACUAUGACAACCCCUAACAGGAGCAGCCAAAAUAAAGAGAGUUUUAAG
ensembl:lncRNA